rnacentral:rRNA from 1 species
CAAUAGCGUAUAUUAAAGUUGUUGCGGUUAAAAAGCUCGUAGUUGGAUUUCUGCCGAGGACGACCGGUCCGCCCUCUGGGUGAGUAUCUGGCUCGGCCUGGGCAUCUUCUUGGAGAACGUAGCUGCACUUGACUGUGUGGUGCGGUAUCCAGGACUUUUACUUUGAGGAAAUUAGAGUGUUUCAAGCAGGCUUACGCCUUGAAUACAUUAGCAUGGAAUAAUAAGAUAGGACCUCGGUUCUAUUUUGUUGGUUUCUAGAGCUGAGGUAAUGAUUAAUAGGGAUAGUUGGGGGCAUUCGUAUUUAACUGUCAGAGGUGAAAUUCUUGGAUUUGCUAAAGACGGACUACUGCGAAAGCAUUUGCCAAGGAUGUUUUCAUUGA